AGGAACCAGGAGAUGUGGCUGGGCAUGAGAGGGUGCAGAAGCCUUUUGGGGCCCUUUGAAGGACACUAUGAUCCAAAGGAUUAUUAGGCAAGGAAGGAAAAUGAGGCAUGCAAGUUUUCCAUAGAUCUGUAUAUCUCUUGUGUUUGUUGACUCGCAGGUUGAUUUUAAAGAGUCUGCCAUCAUGAUGUCAGCACAGAAGACUUAAUUCUCAAUUGCAACAUGCUGGAUCUGCCACGAGUAAUGGGGCAAGUCAGGAAGGUGAUUCAAAUUACCUUGACAGGCAAUAAAGACUGAGAGAAUUCCAUUAGCCCAGGGAUCUGAAGGCAUCUGUCAGGAAGGCACUAUCAGAAGAUACUAUGCAACAACCGAAGUGUGAUCUUUCUUGGGGGCCUCUUCUCCUUGCACAACUGAAAAAUAUUGUAUUGUGACGCUUAAAAAAUCAACUGCAGUAAAAACUAACUGUCAUUAAUUAGCUGUAACAAAGAAAAUUCCAGAAGAGGGGACUGUUAGCAUAGGGGACUGUAGGGCUUUUCAUCCCUGGCACACAAACAUACACACAAGCCUUCUGACAACCCCUGGCCAUUUGCAACCAGCCAGGAAUAAACCAGAGCAGCCGUGAGGCUGAUCUAUUUUGUGCUGAGGCGUGACUCAGAGACUGAUGGCCCCAGGAUCAAGACAACAUAAAGCUACCUUUGCAAUGUCUCCACAAGCUGUGCUGGAUGUACCAUGUCCAGUCUCCAGAAUCUGGCUUUUUGGGGACCAACUUCAGGUAAAGCUUUACAGGUUCAAAAUGUCUUUGAAAACACCCUUUUAAUUUGCAGAAGAAAUUCAUACUCAUAUCAGGGCAAUUUUAAGUCAAAUAUCACACAGCGCUCUGCUCUCUAAAGACUCUCAGGUCUGCUAGCUGCUGUUCAUGGAAGGAAAUCCAAAGGGAACUCUGUUUUCCUGAUCCGUCAGUUAGUCUGUGGAGCCAUGGAUUCCUAAUGCACCGAUCACUGUAGUAUCUAGGUGGCAAAUAACCACAGGAUAGACUGCCAGCGUAGGCCUUUUAUGAAUUAAACUUGUUAUCUGAAGAGAGUGAUCUCUUUACUUUACAUAACUUUACUGUUACUGCUUGCUAGUUUUAUUUUUAUUACACAUCUUUGUUUUACCACUCUUGUUGUUUGUGCUCAUUUUUUUAAUCACAUUUUUCUGUUCCUGCUUCAGAAUUAUUGUCAAUGUAUUUGCACUUUUUCUGUACACAGUUGCACUUUUUUGUGGUUCAGUUAUUUUAAUUCUGCGUUUUAUUUUAAGUACAUUAUUUUAUUACAUCACUUGUUAAUUGUACAAUUAUCACUCUGUUCCCGCUUUAUUUUGCAGCACACAGCAGCCUUCAAGCGUUAGAGCAAUGUGCCACUGACAGAAAAAAAAAUGCCUACAGACCCAAAGACGGAUUGUAGACAAUUCUGUGUUAUCUAAUUAUAUGUUUGGCAAAUAGAAAAAAAAAUUAGCUUGUUUCACAAUAUUGAAAGGGUGUUCAAAAUUUGCCACAAGAUCUCUCCAUCCCGUGAGCCCUAUUUCACACCACAGAUAAUAGCAGGCCAAAUUCAUAGGUGGGAUAAGUUACAUGGGGGUAGGUCAGCAGAAGGUGCUGUAAUUUGUAGAGAGCAGGCGUGUGAGACCAUCGAAGAAAACCAACCAU